UCAUUUUCAUGCUCCUGUUAUAGAAUAGGAAAAUAUUCAAUCAAAUCAAUCUAUUGAACUCAUCUUUCAGCAUUAACCGAUUAUUGAAUCGUCGAACGAGAUCGGUUACGGCAGAAAGAGUUCUAUAUUCUGAAUGACAAGUUAAAAAACUACCCUUUAUUUAGUAAGCCAGCUUUUCUAAAUAAUGUGUAAAAUUGACUCGAGGAAACGACACUUUUUUUGACAGAUCUCGGCUGUUCGCAAUAAUGGGUCAAUUUUACAAGUUUAAGGUGUUGCGCCAAAUGAGUGUGGCACUGUUGGAGGGAACAAAUCGCAUGGCUUCGACCGGGAACUAGACCGGCGAGGAAGAGGUCGAUUCCAAAAGUUAAGCAGUGAUCGUGAAAUUGUGCAAAAUUUCCUUCGUGCAAAAAUUUCAGAAUCCAACACCAUAUCGGGUCGGGAGUGUAGAAGCAAGAAAUCAACAACAUUCACUCGUAAACCAAAUAACAGCGGCUUCAUCACCUCCGUAGCCCAAUUACCAGCUCCGUCGCCGUCUCCUGUCAUCCGGAAGAUUUGUUUUGCCGGAUCUAAUCGUUGGCAUUGCUGUCGACCAUAAAAGCAAAGGUCUGACUACUAAACUUCCUCCCCUUCGGUGAAAACUCUACGUAAACUGGGUUAUUUUAUGAACAACCCAAUUCAACCUCUACCCGUAGCAUUUCUCAGAUGGCUUCCAAGUUGAGAGUGAUCCCAAAUAAAAGAUUCAGCGUCCAAGGAUCUUUUUGUACAGCACCUAAUACACCUAAGGCAUGAAGUCUUCUGGAAAAAGCACUGCGCUGGCCAGUGACUUCGAGUAUCGGAAAUAUAUGUGAUACUUUCAGAUGGUAAAUCCAAUCCGGACGCAUCGUAUGAUAAACUAAAUGAGAUGCAAAAGGAUUUGCCAAAAGCAGCUAAGCUCAGCACGCGAUGGGAGAUGAUGACCUAAUGAUUAUCAUCAGAAUCAUUAGUAACAAUACUGGUGUGAAGGACAUCACGAGUAAAAUAUUUGCAAGUAACUAACCGGGCAUUCAUCAUUUGGUACAGGUGGUUCAGGUAAGCAAAUGGAAAUGAAAAGUUUGGCAGUUAGUUUUCAACAAAAAACGUUAAAUCCAGAAACUCCAUAAAUCAAUUUAAGAAACACCAUAAAGUUUAAAUCAGAAAAUUCCUUGGUCAGAACAAAAAAACAUUGCAGAAAGAUAGUAGGCACUUUGAGGAUGGUUUGAAAAUUAUAUUUGGUUAGAUACCAACUUCCUCGCGCAAUACAAAACUUUUACACACAUUUAUCCCGAGAGCAAAUUUUGUAAUUUCGGAAACAGCGGUCGAUUUAAAUCGCCUUUGUAUAGGCAAUAGCUUCCUAUGUAACUAACCGACCAUUUUGACGCUUACUGUAAGAGGUAAGAGGUAAUGUAAGCGCCUUUGUAUAUGCAUGUAAGCUUUAUAAUGAGAAAAAACAAAUUUGUUCUUCCAUCCAUAAUAAGUCAUAGUCUAAACUAAGGCGGUUUAAAAAGAGUAUAAUAUCGAUUUGAUAAUAGCAGUAACAAAACCGUUGAUCUGGUAUCUGGCCAGAUGCUAAUAUUUUUUUUAAUAGACCUACGCGUAUACAGUAGUCACUUGUUAAAAGACAGUUAGUUACUACUAAAACAUAGCGGACGAAACACAAGAUAUCUCGUUUUUUUUUUGCUUGUCGCUAGUGUUUCUACUCUAAGAAGCAUAACUCAAAUAUCAAAAAUUUGUUGGUGAAACUUCGUUCUGCAAAAUUUAACACAACAAUUUAGACUUCUCAAAAGUACUAAAUUGGAAGAACUGCUAAUUCGACGCUUUCGUACGUCAGUUGAUUCAUUAUUCACUUGAAGAACAGUUUCACAAUGCUCAGCUCAAAAAUGGCAUAUUUGAUCAAAAUCAUCAUUUUCACACAUCUUUGGUAUUAGGAGACAACCAGUGCCGAUUAACAAGUGCCUACUGUAAAUAGCCUUUUAAGCUUAGAAAAUUGACUUUGA